GUGGGGAAUCUUAGACAAUGGGGGCAACCCUGAUCUAGCCAUGCCGCGUGAGUGAUGAAGGCCUUAGGGUUGUAAAGCUCUUUCAGUGGGAAAGAUAAUGACGGUACCCACAGAAGAAGCCCCGGCUAACUCCGUGCCAGCAGCCGCGGUAAUACGGAGGGGGCUAGCGUUGUUCGGAAUUACUGGGCGUAAAGCGCGCGUAGGCGGACUGAAAAGUUGGGGGUGAAAUCCCGGGGCUCAACCUCGGAACUGCCUUCAAAACUAUCAGUCUGGAGUUCGAGAGAGGUGAGUGGAAUUCCGAGUGUAGAGGUGAAAUUCGUAGAUAUUCGGAGGAACACCAGUGGCGAAGGCGGCUCACUGGCUCGAUACUGACGCUGAGGUGCGAAAGCGUGGGGAGCAAACAGGAUUAGAAACCCGAGUAGUCC
rnacentral:rRNA from 1 species